AUUGAACGCUGGCGGCAGGCCUAACACAUGCAAGUCGAGCGAGCGGCGGACGGGUGAGUAAUGUCUGGGAAACUGCCUGAUGGCGGGGGAUAACUACUGGAAACGGUAGCUCAUACCGCAUCCCAUCAGAUGUGCCCCGAUGGGAUUAGCUAGUAGGGGGGGUAACGGCUCACCUAGGCGACGAUCCCUAGCUGGUCUGAGAGGAUGACCAGCAGCACUGGAACGGAGACAGGGGCCAGAGUCCUACGGGAGGCAGAAGGGGGGAAUAUUGACAAAUGGGCGCAAGCUUGAUGCAGCCAUGCCGCGUGUGUGAAGAAGGCUUUCGGGUUGUAAAGCACUUUCAGAGGGGAGGCGUUACCCGCAGAAGAAGCACCGGCUAACUCCGUGCCAGCGGCCGCGGUAAUA
rnacentral:rRNA from 1 species